AAGAUUAAGGAGUAUAGAAGGAGCAUCCAUGUCCUCAUACUGCCUCUAAAGCUCAUUGCUCAUCGAAGCAAGUAUGAUGCAUUUGACAGUCACACUGCUAUCCUUCCACAUCUUGUAUGUAGCCUUUUCCUCCUCAGAAGCAUCUUCUUCGAUCGUAUCGGGUGCAAGUGUAUCCAGUAUGUAGGAGACUUUCUCCUGAGUGAAAAUAAUUUUUAGAUUUCUUAACCAGUCCACAUAGUUAGGUCCGAUCAAUUUGUUAGCAUCUAGUGAC
rnacentral:lncRNA from 1 species